CGGGACACGUGGUAUCCUGUCUGAAUAUGGGGGGACCAUCCUCCAAGGCUAAAUACUCCUGACUGACCGAUAGUGAACCAGUACCGUGAGGGAAAGGCGAAAAGAACCCCGGCGAGGGGAGUGAAAAAGAACCUGAAACCGUGUACGUACAAGCAGUGGGAGCACGCUUAGGCGUGUGACUGCGUACCUUUUGUAUAAUGGGUCAGCGACUUAUAUUCUGUAGCAAGGUUAACCGAAUAGGGGAGCCGAAGGGAAACCGAGUCUUAACUGGGCGUUAAGUUGCAGGGUAUAGACCCGAAACCCGGUGAUCUAGCCAUGGGCAGGUUGAAGGUUGGGUAACACUAACUGGAGGACCGAACCGACUAAUGUUGAAAAAUUAGCGGAUGACUUGUGGCUGGGGGUGAAAGGCCAAUCAAACCGGGAGAUAGCUGGUUCUCCCCGAAAGCUAUUUAGGUAGCGCCUCGUGAAUUCAUCUCCGGGGGUAGAGCACUGUUUCGGCAAGGGGGUCAUCCCGACUUACCAACCCGAUGCAAACUGCGAAUACCGGAGAAUGUUAUCACGGGAGACACACGGCGGGUGCUAACGUCCGUCGUGA
rnacentral:rRNA from 1 species